GUCAGGUAUGGUGGUGCCUACCUGUAAUCCCAGCAGCUCAGGAGGCUGAGGCAGGAUGAUUUGAGUUUGAGGUCAGACUCAGCAGCUUAGUGAGGCUCUCAGCAAUUUAGUAAGACCCUGUCUCAA
rnacentral:sRNA from 1 species